UAUAGCCCUACUACCCUGAACUUGCCCAGUCUUGUCUGAUCUUGGAAGCUAAAUAUGAUUGGGCCUGGUUAGUACUUGGAUGGGAGACCCACCUGGUCUGUAUGUAGGCUUAAAA
rnacentral:rRNA from 1 species